rnacentral:tRNA from 1 species
GGAGGGAUGGCAGAGCGGACGAAUGCGACGGUCUUGAAAACCGUUGGGCCUCCGGGUCCCGGGGGUUCGAAUCCCCCUCCCUCCGCCA